rnacentral:lncRNA from 1 species
UUAAAAGGAAAAACGUAAUCACGGGGCAUAACAUAACCCUUGCUUUGCUUCGUCUUGUGUGUUAUAGCUUCCGCACAUAUCAUUCUUAAUUGGGUCUUGUCCCAUGUUAUAGCUACCCUAUUCUCAAGAUUCGCCAUUGAUCCGCUUAUAUCUCUUGAAGGCGACCCAACUCCAUUGCUUCCUUUCUCCUCACCACAUUACACACCCACCG